UACAGAGGUCCCAAGCGUUGUUCGGAUUCACUGGGCGUAAAGGGUGCGUAGGUGGUGGGGUAAGUCGGAUGUGAAAGCUCGGAGCUCAACUCCGAAAUGGCAUUGGAAACUACCCUGCUAGAGGAUUGGAGGGGGGACUGGAAUUCAUGGUGUAGCAGUGAAAUGCGUAGAGAUCAUGAGGAAGACCAGUGGCGAAGGCGGGUCUCUGGACAGUUCCUGACACUGAGGCACGAAGGCCAGGGGAGCAAACGGG
rnacentral:rRNA from 1 species